GCCUAGUACAACUGCCUUACAGCUGCUUAUCUAGCUUUAAGCAUCUAAGCCAUUCGUCACAUUACUAUCAUUUGAAACGUACUGAAUAACAUGAGCUAAAAUUAUAGUGAAAAUUUUUGGAAUGAUGUUGUCAUAGUACAUUUUUUGAUGUCAGUAAUAAUUUCGAAUUUGCUCAUUUCUUUCUAAAGUUUAAAAUUAAUGUGAGAAUUACAAGAAGAACAGUUAACUGUUCUUAAGAAUUAACUGCUCUUUAAUUAUCUCUUUCCAUGGCAUUAGUCAAAUUAUACUUUCAAAGUGAUUUUCAGAUAGCAAAGUGAAAUGGUUAUUUAUUAAUGAAAAUGCUAAACUAUAACUAAACUAAAAAAGGUUUAGUUUUCCCCCUCUCAUGUAUUAGUGAGAAAAAAACAUUUACUAAGU
rnacentral:lncRNA from 1 species